AUUUCUCUGGUCUUCGGAUCCUGAUAAUACUUGACUGUUUCGUAUACCGGAUUCUCCCACCGACAAUUUCCAUCUUGAACCGUAGCUUUCUCUAAUCUUUUUGUUGGUCUUCCAAUGUCACCAGGAACUAUUGACAACACCAAUGCAUCCACCCCUGAUUGUAACACCUGAACAUUGAAUUGAAGCUUAAAAACAGCUUUAAUCCUAUUCUUCUCACUUCUCCAUUUUGAAGAACGAAACAUCUUCACUUCACAUCACAAAACUCACGUUUCAAAUAAGCUCUUAAUCAUUU
rnacentral:lncRNA from 1 species